CGUGUAGGCGGGAUUGUAAGUCAGAUGUGAAAUUCCACGGCUUAACUGUGGCGCUGCAUCUGAAACUAUGAUUCUUGAGUGCUGGAGAGGAAAGCGGAAUUCCUAGUGUAGCGGUGAAAUGCGUAGAUAUUAGGAGGAACACCAGUGGCGAAGGCGGCUUUCUGGACAGUAACUGACGCUGAGGCGCGAAAGCGUGGGGAGCAAACAGGAUUAGAUACCCUGGUAGUCCACGCUGUAAACGAUGGAUACUAGGUGUAGGAGGUAUCGACCCCUUCUGUGCCGGAGUUAACACAAUAAGUAUCCCACCUGGGGAGUACGGCCGCAAGGUUGAA
rnacentral:rRNA from 1 species